AUUGAACGCUGGCGGCGUGCUUAACACAUGCAAGUCGAUCGGUAACGCGGGGGCAACCCUGGCGACGAGAGGCGGACGGGUGAGGAACGCUUGGGAAUCUGCCCUUCAGCGGGGGACAACCCGGGGAAACCCGGGCUAAUACCGCAUACGCUCCAUGGAGGAAAGCCGGGGACCGCAAGGCCUGGCACUGAAGGAUGAGCCCAAGUCGGAUUAGCUAGUUGGCGGGGUAACGGCCCACCAAGGCGACGAUCCGUAGCUGGUCUGAGAGGACGAUCAGCCACACUGGGACUGAGACACGGCCCAGACUCCUACGGGAGGCAGCAGUGGGGAAUAUUGGACAAUGGGGGAAACCCUGAUCCAGCGACGCCGCGUGGGUGAAGAAGGCCUGCGGGUUGUAAAGCCCUUUCGGUAGGGACGAAAGCUCUCGACCUAACACGUCGGGAGGUUGACUUAACCUACAAAAGAAGCACCGGCUAACUCUGUGCCAGCCGCCGCAGUAACAC
rnacentral:rRNA from 1 species